UUUGCAAGUGAAUGCAGACAGAGAGUGGAAAGGGAUUUGUUAAAUAGCACAUCUGUAUAAUGAUUUCCUUUGUUUGACAUUUAAGGUCGUUUGUGUGGCUGUUUUCAGAAUCUGCUGAGCUCUGAGUGUAUCUCCCUGCUGCUGCUAUACUGCUCUGGACCAGUACCCUGCACCAGCCGCAAACCAAACCGACUUGUGGGCACGCCAUAACUUCUGCAUAAAUUGAAAGCAAAUAUGUAACCAUUAAUCACCAUAGGGACUACAGCCCUCCAAACCAUGAAUUCCAUCAGGUAAACA